GCGGAGUCGUUCCAUGACGUCACUACUCGUCAUUCCUCGCCCCACUCCGCCGCUCCCACUUCCCUAGACUUCGACGGCGGCGCGCGCUCGCCGGCCGGGAGGUGGGGCGGCGAGCUCGUCGACGGCCUCUCCUAAGCCGCCGCGUCACGCGGCCUGGUGCGGAGGCCGCGUGUCCGCCUCCGGCGGCCCUCGCUCGUUCGCGGCGUGCCGGGAGGUGCGCGUGGCGAUGUCGGCGUACAAGGAUCCCCUUCAACAAAGUGUAACUGAACGAGAUCAUGCAAACAUGAUUCUCAUAUUCACAAAUGAUAAGGCAAAAACACUAAUUGAAACCAGAACUAGGGUGCAUUGCGAGUUAUUUUGCAGUGACAGCCAUAAAAGGUCACACUCACAGAGCUUUUCAUGACAAGCCAACGCCCCUUCCAAGCUUGCUGGCUUUUCUGGAGUAUAUUGGGGUGGCAUACUCGUAUGAAUGUGUGUUGUUAGGAAGCCUUGGUUUGAUUGCUUCAUCAGAAUGGCAUUCCUUUUUGUCAUAGCCACUUGGCCAGGUCAACUGUAGUGUUCACCAAUCUCAUGUGGAAUACUGACUAUCAAGUGCUCCGAUCUUCUCCUACUGCAUGUACACUUAGAUUAAUGAUUCUAUGUUUCAGCAUUCUUCUACUGCAUGUACACUUAAGUCUAUUACUUAUUUGAAUAAUAGUGAGAAACAUUGCACUAAAGAUAUCCAUGUGAAAGCAGCCUACAAGAUGCUGCAUCUUUGCCCAAGCUUUAACAA